GGGCAGAAUGGGCGCAAGCCUGAUGCAGCCUGCCGCGUGUAUGAAGAAGGCCUUCGGGUUGUAAAGUACUUUCAGCGGGGAGGAAGGGAGUAAAGUUAAUACCUUUGCUCAUUGACGUUACCCGCAGAAGAAGCACCGGCUAACUCCGUGCCAGCAGCCGCGGUAAUU
rnacentral:rRNA from 1 species